UACCGCGGUUAUACGAGAGGCCCUAGUUGAUAGCUACGGCGUAAAGGGUGGUUAGGGAUAACUAUUAACUAAAGCCAAAGACCUCCCAAGCUGUCAUACGAUCGGAGGCACGAAGUCCUAACACGAAAGUAGCUUUAUUACCCCUUGACCCCACGAAAGCUAAGAAA
rnacentral:rRNA from 2 species